rnacentral:tRNA from 1 species
GCGGCGCUAGCUCAACUGGACAGAGCACUCGGCUACGAACCGAAAGGUUUCAGGUUCGACUCCUGAGCGCCGCACUA